UGACAUGCCUAACACAUGCAAGUCGAACGGUACAGGAAGCAGCUUGCUGCUUCGCUGACGAGUGGCGGACGGGUGAGUAAUGUCUGGGAAACUGCCUGAUGGAGUGGGGAUAACUACUGGAAACGGUAGCUAAUACCUGCAUAACGUCGCAAGACCAAAGAGUGGGGACCUUCGUGUGCCUCUUGCCAUCGGAUGUGCCCAGAUGGGAUUAGCUAGUAUGUAGGGGUAACGGCUCACCUAGUGCGACGAUCCCUAGCUGGUCUGAGAGGAUAGACCAGCCACACUGGAACUGAUGACACGGUCCAGACUCCUACGGGAGGCAGCAGUGGGGAAUAUUGCACAAUAGGGCGCAAGCCUGAUGCAAGCCAUGCCGAGUGUAUGAAGAAGGGCGC
rnacentral:rRNA from 1 species